GAACCGGGAGGACCCAUGUGACUCACCUCUGACCCGCCAGUGCCGUCGGCGCCAUUUUGGAGGCUGGCAAAUGAAAGAGUAUAUAGCGAAUCUUUUGGAACUCAAGCAAGGACAUGGCAACACAUUAUGACCACAAACUAAAGUGGUUAAAGGGGAUUUAGUAGAGUUAGCCGUAAAAGUUUAAUUUUGUGGAGCUUAGUGAGUUCCGAGUCGGCCAUGGCAAGUAUGGGCAGGCCUGGAAGUAAUUCUCCUUUUACUUCCGGAAGCUGUAUCCGCGAAUUUUAAGGUCAGUGAUACCAUAGCAACCAAGCCCCAAUCAGGAACAGCCACAAGGGCCUUCGCUGAGCCCGCCCACUAGCCGCCUAGGCGCGCGGGGUAGAUGCCCGAGCUGAGUGUGCGUGGUGUUGGACUAGGGCGUCUUGCAGCCCCCCUUGGCUCCUUGACGCCUUGAUGACAGCUGGGACAUUGACACGCUUGAGAGGACCUUGAGAGACAGAGAGAGGAGAAACUGUAGGACGCUGAGAGGAAACAUUCUGAUUUGGCUGUUGGGCGAGUGGGGACCAGUGCCUCAGAGAAGAAGGUGUAGAGGUCACUUGGUGAAUAUGAGCUGGACGGACGUCAAGUUCUUGCCCCGAGCGGCGUAUUUGGGCUGGAGAAACUAUGUGGCUUACUGAAUGUGCAUUUUAUUUAUUUAGCCAACAUUGAGCGCCUGCUAGGCUAGGUUGUAUUCGAACUAAAUUUGAAUUUUGUAUUUAAAUUGAGUAAAAUGCCGUGUUUUGGUCCAGUCUGAGAGACGAAUAUAAUACGGGUUUACCAGAUACGCAUUGUGAGGAGAGGGAUGUAUUUUGUGUGUUUUAAAAGCACAAACACUUAAGAUAUCAAGUUGGCUAGUCCAUUCAUAGUAAGCAAAUUCACACGGUAAUGAUUCGUGCACACAAUUAACAAGUAUUUACUGAGUACUUAACUAUGUGGCAGACACUAUCCCAUGGAUGCAUACCAAACAUGUUUAUUGAUUUUGCAAACUUCUUGCUAUGCCAUCAAAUAUUUGGGACAGAAGAAGAUAUAAAGACGAAUAUGGAAUACACAGUAGCCUAUGUUUGGAGUCAUUAUCUACUUUGACAAAUAUUUAUUGAGCAUCUACAGAAAUACCCAGAAGAUGGACUAUCUACCCCACGUAAUUUAAAUGAUUGUUCUGUAUUAGAACUCCUUUCAGUCCAUCUAGUUUGUCUCCUGGUACUGAAGUGCCAGGAACAAAACAAGAACAAACAUAAAAGAGCUGUAAAACAUUUUAAAAUUAGACAAAUGCCAUAUAAUAAUUAUUUUAUGAGGUGUCCACUUAGGAACAUUGAGUUUGAUUGUCGUAUCCCUGAUCUAAGAUAAGAUUGCUAGUCUGCUCAGUUAUGAAAAAAAAAGAAAAGAAAAAGACAAUUGCUGUUGAGUCGAUUUCAACUCCUGGCUGUACUCAGUAUAUCCUGAUAAUUUGCGUUGGCUUUUGGGAAUCAGUAGGAAUGGCUACCUAAGUCAUUGUCACUUCUCAGUCCCAAGCUUCUUCAGACCAUUAGCUAGGGAUUUGCGGCCCAUCAGAUACCCAUGUGUUUUUCUUUAAAUUUCCACUUAACAUUUAUAUAAUAGAUUAUAAGUUUUUAAAUAUUUUCACUUAUGUUAUUUACCUCAUUUCAAAAACCAUGUGGAAUAGGCUGAACCAGCCUGUUUAACAGAUGAGGUAACUGGGUUCUGUGAGUCUGAAGAACUCUGGUACCCAAAGUCUCAUAGCUUAGAAGUGACAGUCUGAAGUCCUGAGCCUUCUGCGGUAAAGAGGUAUUCUUUCUUAUUUGACAGAGGAAACGGAGACUCGGAGAAGUUGAGUUACUUUCCUAUGUCACAGCUCUCAAAUUCUUUCUUGUCCUAUAUUCCCACUUAUUCUUGGCCCCCAACACUUCCUGUCUCCCUUCCCUACUUUAUGUUUUUCGUCUUAGCAUUCAGUACUAUCUAAUGUAGCAUUUUACUUAUUUUAUAAAUAAGUUAAAAUAUUUCAUAAAGUACAUUUUACUUAUUUAUCUUUUUUAUCAAUCUCCCCACUAACUAGCAUAUCUGUUUUGUGAGGGCAGGAAUUUUUGUCAAUUUUGUUCCCUGCUUUAAUCUUCAGAACCGAAAAUAUGCCUGGCACUUAGGCAUAAUAAAUAUGGGUUCCUUAGCUCCUACUAGAAUGUCUUAACAGCAAAUUCCUUCAUUUUCCUACAAAUGUAUCUAAUCUAUAUUGUAUCUAAGUGUAGGUGCAAUUUUUUUAAAUUGGAAAAUGUGUUUUUGUUUCCAUAUAAGGACAUGGGGGAAAAAAAUGCUCCUCUCAUUUCUGUGGAACUAAAGGGCGGAUAGAUACCCCUAGGGAACUGAAACUUUUAAACUCUUAAUCUGCAUUAAAGAAGAUACAUUUUACUUCUGAUUGGGAGAAAGGCCUUAUUCUGAAUUCAGAAUUAACAGAAAGCAUCCCACUACUAAAGUAAAUGCUUCUUCCCGACCCAGCAGUCCUCUGCUACAUGGUGCCACUAGGGUUGGUGUCACCCCCUCCGCUCCCCACGGGCCUCCUCCUGUACUAGACCAGACAGAUUUCUUAGUAAUGUUUUUUGUACUAAUAUUACUCGUAAAUGGUAAUUUCCCUGUGUCACCCCUUCUUUUCCUUUAAUUACUACUUCAUUCUCAACAAAGUUGUUGAUACAGGUUCACAAAUACUAAUUAUCACAGUAUUGUAGCUAAAACACCAAAAAUUUUGACGAAAUCAGCAACUAUAAAAACAAGGCAGCGUGGCCAUCUAAGAUGCAUCAAUUGGUCUCAACACACCUGGAUCAGAGGAGAAUGAAGAAUACCAAGGACACAAGUGUCACCUGGUACAGUCUGCACCCCCCCCGCACCCCGCCCCAGGACUCCCAUCAGUGACACCACUGCUCUGCCAUCCUGUCAUCUGGAAACUUCCCCAGCCAGACCCACCUAAGAUUCCUGAUCCACCGGAGCCUCUGGAGGUGAAGAGACGUCACCGGGACACGCCCUCCACCCAGUCUAUCCCUAAGCCACAGGAGCCUGAUGGCACAGAGACGGAGUGCUGGUGGUGCAGUACUGAUCUGCUAACCAAAAGGUUGACUGUCUGACCCCACCAGCUGCUCCACGGGAAAAAGAUGUGGCAGCCUGCUUCCAUAAAGAUUUACAGUCUUGGAAACCCUGUGCAGCAGUUCUACUCCGUCCUAUUGAGUCGCUAUGAGUCAGAAUUGACUUGAUGGCAACAGGUUUGCUUUGGUGGCAUAAUGGUUAAGCACUUGGCUGCUAACUGAAUGGUUGGUGAUUUGAACCCACCAGUCACUCCUAGUGAGAAAAAACGCAGUGAUCAAUCAGCUCAAGUAAAGUUUGUUGCUAUUGUUGUUAGGUGCAGUUGAGUCAGCUCCAACUCAUAGCGACCCUAUGAACAGAAUGAAACACUGCCCAAUCCUGUGCCACCCUCACAAUCACUACUGUAUACGAGCCCAUUGCUGUAGCCGCUGUGUCAAUCCAACUGGUUAAGGGUCUUCCUCUUUUUUCACUGACCCUCUACUUUACCAAGCAUGAUGUCCUUCUCCAAGGAUUGGUCCCUCCUGAUAACAUGUCCAAAGUAUGUAAGAUGAAGCCUCGCCAUCGUUGCUUCUAAAGAGCACUCUGACUGUAGUUCUUCCAAGACAGAUUUGUUUAUUCUUCUGGCAGUCCAUGGUAUAGUCAAUAUUCUUCACCAACACCAUAAUUGAAAGGCAUCAUUUCUUCUUCAGUCUUCCUUUGUCAUUGUCCAGCUUUCUUAGGCAUAUGAGGGGAUUCAAAAUACUAUGGCUUGGGUCAGGCUCACCUUAGUCCUCAAAGUGGCACAGAGGCAUAGCUAAGGGGGCCAGCGGGGAACACUUGCCCCAGGUGCAAGUCCAAGAGGGUGCAGAUGAGGCAUGACAUGACAUUCUGAGGCACCUCAAAUAUGAAAGGCACCUAACUGAGGCAGCUGGACAAGGGGGGUAGGGCAUUUCUGCUGACAUGUUGCUGCUAUUAACAUCUAUUCGUCUUGAAAUUGGGGGGAGCACAAUUUAGAGAUAGCCCCCGGGAUCUUUACCUCGCUAUGCCCCUGAAGUGACAUCUUUGCCUUUUAACACUUUAAGGAGGUCUUUUGCAGCAGAUUUGCCCAAUGCAAUACGUCUUUUGAUUUCUUGACUGCUGUUGCCAAGGGUGUUGUUUAUGGAUGCAAGUAAAAUUAAAUAUCCCACUUGAAAGCAGAGAAUACCAGAAAGAUGUUUACCUGUGUUUUAUUGACUAUACAAAGGCAUUUGACUGUGUGGGUCAUAAUAAAUUAUGUAUAACAUGGUGAAGAAUGAGAUCCCAGAACACUUAGUUGUGCUCAUGCAGAACCUGUGCAUGGACCAAGAGGCAGUCAUUCGAACAGAGCAAGGGGAUUCUGCAUGGUUUAAAAUCAGGAAAGGGGUGUGUCAGGGUUGUAUCCUUUCACCAUACUUAUUCAAUCUGUAUGCUGAGCAAAUAAUUCCAGAAGCUGGACUCUGUGAAGAAGAACAGGGCAUCAGGAUUGGAGGAAGACUCAUUAAACAACCUGCAAUAUGAAGAUGACACAACCUUGUUUGCUAAAAGCGAAGAGGACUUGAAGCACUUACUGAUGAAGAUCAAAGACUACAGUCUUCAGUAUGGAUUACACCUCAACAUAAAACAAAAAUCCUUACAACUGGGUGUAAAGAUUACAAACUAGGAAACCCUAUGGGUCUGUUCUAUUCUGUCCUAUAGAGUCACUAUGAGUUGGAAUUGACUCAAUGGCCCACAACAACAACAAACCACGGCCAAGGUAGCUGGUCAAACCUGGCAAUUACUGUUUUUGUGUGGCCCAGGAGCUAAGAAUUUUUAAAAGAGUUGUUGAAAGAGAGAGAGAAUAUGAUACGCUUAUGUGGCACACAAAGCCUAAAAUAUUUACUAUCUGACCCUUUACAGAAAAAGUUUGUUUCUGUCACCUAGACAACAGCCUCCUGACUGUCACUUCUGCUUCCAGUCUUGCCCCACUGUAGUCACACUUCUUAACACACCCAGAGUUCUUUUUAAAAAUAAAAUGUAAAUCAGAAUAUGUCAUCCCCCUGCUUCUUGUUGCACUUGGAAUAAAACCCAAGUACCUUACCACAGCCCAAAAGGCCACUGUGAUCUGUCUCCUGCCUACCUCUCUAAUCUCGUUUUACCUGAUGAUCACUCUUUUUGAGACUCCCCACCCCAACACAUUCACUCUUCUACAGACCCCCUGGCCUUCCAGUUUGAGCUCCUACCUGUAUUAGGGCCUUUGCAUUUACUUUCUGGAGCCUUUCCUCCCCAUACCUUGUCAUGUGGACUCUGCAGGCUCCUUAUUCAGGUCCCAGCUCCAGUGUCACCUUCUGGAGGGCCCACCCAACCUAAAGGGAUCCCUUCCACAGAUCACAUUAAUGGGUUAUUAUCCAUAUAGCAUUUGGUACAAUUUGGCACUAUUUGGGAGUAUCCUGUGUAUUUGUUUUCUUUUUUAUUAUCACUCCAUCCCAUUGGAAUUUAAGCUCUAUGAGAGCGAGAGCUCUGUUUUGUGCCUGAUUUAUCCCCGAGGCCAGAUACAAUAUUCUGCACAGAGUAGGUGCUCAACAGAUAUUUAUCGAAUGAAUGAAAUAAUAUAUAUAAAUCAACUAGUACAUGAACACAGAGCAGUUGCUCAACAAAUCCUAGUUCCUCUAUCUAGUAAGUAUUUUAACUGCCAUUUUUCAUAUGGAGAAGCUGAAAUCCAAAGAUAUUAAAUGAGUCAGCCUUAGAGCUGAGAAUACUCCGAACUACAGACCAGUUUUCAGAUAUAAUUGUUAACACUUUUGAUAAAACUUGGUAUUUAUUAUUUAGUUCUGACUCUAAUAAGAAGUUUUAGAUUCCCGGACAGCCUUUCUCUCUCCUCACUUAUAAUACAAUUUUGUGGUUUAUAAGUGAAUUUAAGUCUUCGAGAACAACCAUAAAGAUGUUAAUAGAUAAUGCUGACACUUGCAGCAUUCACUAGCAUCUCACCUCAAUUCACUUUGCUUGGAAAAACAAGACUUAGCUUCUUCUCUAGAUUCUCAUGUUGCAAAAUUUUCAUCUUCCUUGGUAGGAAGCAUAAACCCCUCAGCAAGUCUCCAGGACAAGCAAGGCUCUUCAUCAACGUUGUCUGUAGAACAUUGUUGAGAGAAGGAUUGGGACCCUGGCUUGUAUGCUAAGACCUGUAAGUCUCAAUAAAUAACCAGCAUCAAACUUCUUCCACAGAUAUCUGUGGGCUGAGAUCUCUGAGAAGUCAGGAUUUAACAACAAGAAUUUUAGAAUUUGAGAGAUGAGCAAGCAAAAGAUACAAAAAUGAGUCCCAAAAGAACAAGAUUCAUAAAACUUAAGAACCAUCACAUGAACCAUCACGACAACCACAUAACUGGAGUUAAAAAGGACAAGAUUAGAAAAAGGGAAGCAUCACCUCUGCCCCACAAGCACUGUAUGCUACAGUGGCCAUAUGAAGUCCUGCAGGCCAGAAAGGCAGAAAUGAGAAGAAAAGAGAAGGCAAAUCCAUCGUGCCAGCUGGGCUUGAGGACCCAAAGAACAAAAAGAACUUAGAUUUGUAAAGAUUCUAGAAGAGAAGGAAGUAGGGCUAGAAGGUAAGACGAGAACUGCAGGGGUUCCCCUCUUUACUUUAUGUUUGUACACCCCUAUGCUGCUUAUGGCACAGGACCGGACAGUGUUUCACUCUGUUGUACAUAGGGUCGCUAUGAGUUGGAACCAACUCAACGGCACCUAACAACAACAAUAACAUGCUACAAAGGAGGAAAAAAAAGCAUUGAGAAAGAAAGAAAAGAGGAAACUGCUCAGUACUUUGUGAAGUAUCCCCAGAACUAAGCCCCUCCAAAAGACCGUUAAUGGAGAAUCAAAUGGUAUGCAUCCUAAACAUGAGCUAAACUCUGCACCUGGAUAGAGCCAUGCCUGAAGUCUGCCCACAUGCAGGCCCUCAGAGGGAUUGGACUUACUUCAAAGUGCUCUGAGGGAUGGGGCCUGAGAUUCUGCAUUUCUAAUAUAUAAUGCCGGUGCUGGUGGUCCACAGAUCACUGAGUAGCAAGAUACCAGAAACUAUAAUAAACCUGGUUUCCUGGCUGCACGUUAGAAUCACUGAAGAGGUUUAAAAAACAAAUACUUUUUCCUGGUGAUCUUUAAAAAAAUAUUGAUUCCUGGCUCCCACCCCCAGACAUUCUGAUUUAACUGGUAUGGGGUGCAACCUGAGCAUUGGAAUUUUUUAAAAACUCCCUAGGUGAUUAGUGUGCAUCCAGGAUUGGAAAACAAUACUCCAGCCUAACUCUUAAAAAAAAAAAAAAAUUCUUACCCGUUCCUAUUUCAGCACCCUAACCUAAUGCUUUUUAAGUAGCAAGUUCUCAAUAAAUAUUUCUGUUUGACUUACAUUCCUGUUUCUCCUGCUGAAACAUUGCUAUCCUUUCUCCCACCAGACAACAAGGUUCAUUCCUAUGCUGGCCACAUCUGCCAGCUCAAGGAUUAGUAAAGAAGUAGGAAUAGGAAGCAAAAGCUUCAUAUGAGGAGGAAGCUUUCUCCACAGGCACAUGAGGGAGCCUUUUUCUUCUCUCUUGCAGAAAGUCAUCGUGGCACGUGGACAAAGGAAGUAUUAAUAACCUUUCUAAAGAGAUACUUCUCCAAGAUUUGGUGUUUCACAGACCACAACCAGUACUGUCAGUGCUACAGAUGGCCAACUUCUCCAUUUCAGAUAGAGGCUUCCGAAGAUAGCUCAACCUCCAUCCCUAAAGCAGAAGACCCAGCUAUGGGGAAGAGAACCACCAGAGUCUUUAAGCCAGAGGUCAAAAGCCACUACCCACAUGUUUGUCAGGGAUAAGAAGGUCACCAAGCAAAAGUACUAGAGAGAGCUAGCUUUUUUGGAGUGAAAUUAAAGUAAUAACAUUAUAACAACCAGGACUUAAUGGCGAGUCCACAUUAAGAACCAUGGGCAUCUAUCAUAUCAUCUCAGUUAUAUGAAACGACAAGAAUAGUAAAUGUAUAGAGACCAAAGCUUACUGGUGGUUACCAGGAGUAGGAUGGAGGGGAAAAGACGGAGCCAUUGUUUGGGAAGCAGUGAGUUUCUGUAAAUGGUGACAGGCAAUUUGGCAUUGGUUAAGGGUAAUGGUUGAACAAUAUGGUUAACGUAAUUGAUAUCACUAAGUUGUAUAACUGAAAGGGGUUGAAUUGGCAAAUGGUGUGCCAUAUAUAUCCUUACAAUAAUAAAAAUAAAUAAAAAGAACCAUGAGCAUCAAGAGAUGUAUUCUCUGGACAGGGGUUCUGUCUCUGCCCCGCCACCAACUCACUCGGUGACCUUGGGCUGGUAUUUACCCUUUCUAAGUCUUGACUUCUUCCUUUGUAAAAUGUGAAGCUUGAACUAGAUGAGCUCUAACAGCCAAAGCAUCCACUGGCCAGAGACUGAGGACAGAACCUUCCUUUGACUUCUUACAAGCCUCCAUCCAAAGAGAAGUGAAGAGGUGGCAAGUUCACAAAGGCAAUGACACUACAUUGGUAAAAGCUGAGCUUCAUCAUCCCCCUUCAGGGCCUGAUUCCUGGCUGGUGACUCGGCAAGCACAACUGAACCACAGUUCAUAAACACCUCCCAGGGCGGAUGGUGUGACUAGGAUGAAAGCCUCUGCGUUUUUUUCCUAGGGCUUUCGGAACCAAUGACCAAACACUAGGUGAUGGAAAACAACAGAAAUUCAUUCUUUCACAGUUCUGGAGGCCAGAAGUCCAAAGUCGAGAUGUCAGCAGGGCCUUACUCCCUUCAAAGGCUCUAGAGGAGAAUCCUUCCUUGCCUCUUGCAGCUUCUGGUGGCUCCAGGCAUCCCUUGGCUUGUGGUUGCAAAACUCCAGUCUUUGUCUCUGUCUUCACAUGGCUGUCUCCUGUUCUGUUUCUCUUCUGCAUGUCUCUUACAAGGACACUUGGAUUUAGUGCCCCCUGGAUAAUCCAGGAUGAUCUCAUCUCAAGAUCCUCAACUCAACUGCAUAUGCAAAGACCCUUUUUCCAAAUAAGGUCACAUCCACAGGUCCUGGGUGUUAGGACAUGGACAUAUCUCUUUGGGGACCACCAUGCAACCUACUACAGCUUCCAAACGGAGAAGGGUACAGAGAUGUACAAAAUCCUCUAAAGCCAAGUCAAAUGCUACCUUGUCUGUGAGGCCUUGCCGCUUCGUGUCACCCAGAUGAGAUCUCCUCCACCCUGGACCUCCGUCAGCAUUCUGACUGUGCCACUUGUAUGGUGAUGGUCACUUCCUGUCAGGCCAGAUACUUAUUCCUGUGCUGUUCAUGCCUUCCUCCCUACCUCCAGACCACCUGCAUUAGAACCACCUAAGGAGCUGGUUAAAAAUACAAAUUCCUGUCCUUACCACCUCCCUUCCUCCCCCCACCAUUGCCACCAAUGUGUCAAGCUCUCUAGGGUUGGGGCCCAGAAGCAAGCAUUUUAAAUCAUCUCCCUGGGAAGUUCUGAUGCAUGCUGGUCUGAGAAACACCAUGCCAUGCUGUGAACUCCAUGAAGGUUCUCUGCUGUAUCCCCAGAUGUCUUAUAUUUAUUUAUUUAAGGCGAUGAGAGGCAGGAUUUC